rnacentral:rRNA from 1 species
AGGAUUCCCUAGUAACGGCGAGUGAAGAGGGAAAAGCCCAGCACCGAAGCCUGCGCAGUUUUGCUGCUAGGCAAUGUGGUGUUUAGGCCGGCUAGUAGGGCUGCCACUCCACUCGAAGUCCAGCAUUGAGUAUGGUCACUGGAUUUGGCCCAUAGAGGGUGAAAGGCCCGUACGGUGGAGGUUCAGAAAUGUAAGGCAGUUCCCCAGGCCGGCCUUAGAGUCGGGUUGUUUGCGAAUGCAGCCCAAAGAGGGUGGUAAACUCCAUCCAAGGCUAAAUACAAGCACGAGUCCGAUAGCGAACAAGUACCGUGAGGGAAAGUUGAAAAGUACUUUGAAGAGAGAGUAAACAGUACGUGAAACCGCAUGCAAGUAAACGGGUGGCGUCAAGCUGCACACCCGGAGAAUUCAGCUGGCUAGGGUGUUGUGUAUGCGCCUGGCGCAUCAAUCAGUCAGAGUAAGAUUCGGUAGUCCGCCCGGUAAGGGUGGGCCCGGCCGCAAGGUUGGGAUUUGUGUACCGGGUGUUAGCCGGAGCAAGCUACUUAUCUAUGGGACUGUCUAGCCAGUGCACUUUCUCCGUGGUGAACACCACGACCGGUGGGAGUCUGCUGUAGUCAAGUCGUGUUCAGUAGGUUCUCGUAAUCAACUGGAUGCGAUCACAGGCAAACUCAGUAAACGGCGUAGGGGUGUUUCGGCACCUUUGCGUGUUAUCGGCUACUGGUUGUCAACGGAUCGGCCCUUUGAUUGUUGUAAUCGUCACUGGGUGGUCUGGUGGACUAUGGUGGUAUGAAUAACUGUGCAAGGCAUCGGAGUUCUCGGCCUCAAAUGCAUUCUAUGCCCACAUUAUGAGUGGCGUGGGUGCCAUUACAGCCUGCCUGUUGUUGAGUCUGAUUGUCGUGUCGCCUGCGAAAAGUGGGCCCGGCAGUGGCUUGAUAUGGGAUGGGUUGUGGAUGGUAUCUCCUGUGUAGUUUGCGGUGGGCCUUACAGUCUGUGGU